GUUUUAUUAGAAGUAUUUUUCAUGACUGUAGUGUUUUAUUAUGUUCUUACCAUAACACAACGCGGACUCGGGUGUAUCAAACAUAAAUGACUAUUUAUAAGCAUAUUUAUUUUUAAAAAUAAAUUAACUAGACAACCUUUGGGUGGAGGAAGGACUUGAAGAUUAAAUGAGGAAGAUGUAAAAAUAUCACAGUAGACCGUGGGAAAUGGUCCAAGCUUAGGAAGGCAGUUUAGACCUUCGAGAUAUGCACAAAGUUUAUAUAUCAGAGAGCCAAGUGCAGGUACUUACACCCCCACAGAGAAUAGAAUAAGUAUCUAAGGUACUAGGUAUUAAAGAAAAUAUGAGUGAGUGUGUCGUGAAUGAGGAUAUUAUUAUGACAGAGUAUAGGGUAAAAUGGCGUGACAUGACGAACAAAGCCGAUACUGAAUAAGGAUAAGGCAAGGAAGAAGAAGAGAAGAAUUGUUAUUACCUUGGUCGUCGGCACAGAUCAUGUUGUCAGUGAUGAUGUCUACGUCAGAGUAACGACGCCGGCACUCGGCAUUGCUGAUGGUGUAGAGAGUCACUUGUUGCAAGAUGUCAGCGUAAUCGUCUUCGCUUGAGAGGUUCUCACCCUGUUAGAGACAAAUUAAUUCGUUUUAGGGAUGCUAUAAAAAUAUACAGGGAGUUAGGAUAAUUUAUAGUUAUACUUUAUAUAGAACUAGGCCUAUAGAACCCUUCCUUUAUAGGAAGGAGACCCGUGCCCCAGCAGUCGUGAUGAUAGAGGA